rnacentral:rRNA from 1 species
UACGUAGGGGGCAAGCGUUGUCCGGAUUUAUUGGGCGUAAAGCGCGUGUAGGCGGCCAGUUAGGUCCGUUGUGAAAACUGGAGGCUUAACCUUCAGACGUCGAUGGAAACCAUUUGGCUAGAGUCCGGAAGAGGAGAAUGGAAUUCCUGGUGUAGCGGUGAAAUGCGCAGAUAUCAGGAAGAACACCCGUGGCGAAGGCGGUUCUCUGGGACGGUACUGACGCUGAGACGCGAAAGCGUGGGUAGCGAACAGG